rnacentral:rRNA from 1 species
UGGGGAAUAUUGGACAAUGGGCGCAAGCCUGAUCCAGCAAUGCCGCGUGAGUGAUGAAGGCCUUAGGGUUGUAAAGCUCUUUUACCCGUGAUGAUAAUGACAGUAGCGGGAGAAUAAGCCCCGGCUAACUCCGUG